GAUUCAGAGAGUUGACACAUUACCUGAGCUGCAGCAGUGCAACAAGUGUUACAGCAAUUACCAGCAAUUUUCUGCUUGACCAGCAUGUUUAAGCCAGCCAAACUGGUCAAAUUAAUGUCAUCUUCAAAUCCACUUCAACAUGCAGUUGUCUGUGGAGUACAUCUUGUCUUGGGAGCACCCUUUGAUUUUACAUCUUGUGACACUCCAAUCAUACGGAGAUGGUGGACUCCAGAUGGUUUUCUCUGAAAGGUACUGGACAUUUCCUCCAGCACACCAUUACAUUUGCACCCCCUUCUGACCAAUUUGAAAU